ensembl:lncRNA
CAACGAGUAACAGCUGAAACACAUUAGGGGAGGGAGCAGUAAUCACACAGGAGGGAAACUUGACCAGACAUGGGGAGAAACAAGACAGGGGUACGAAAGUAAAACAGGAAACGCAGGGAAACACAACAAAACAAGACAAGGGGCCCGUUUCAGAAAGCAGGUUAAACAAACUCUAAGCUAAAACCUUAAGUCUAGGUUGACCAACUCUGAGCUGUAAAACUCUGAAUUUUCGGUUUCAGAACAGGUGAUAACGCUUAGUUCAAUCAACUCUGAGUCAAGGUAACUCUGAGUGAAGCUUGUGCAUGAGGAUAUAAAAAGCCCUCAUCAAUGGAACACAGAUGACAUGAUUCACCAUGGCAACAAGUACUAGCAAGCCUCGUUCCUCCUACUUCUCCCCAGCGGAGUUGCAAAUCUUAAUGACUGCAUAUGCAGAAAGCGAGCAUAUCUUUUUACUCAAAAGCAAUACUAUGGCAGCAGCCAAAAAGCGGGAGCUUGCGUGGGAAAAAAAAACUGACCGAGUCAAUGCGUGAGUAUUUAUUUGAGAAAAAUAAAAUGUUUUCUCUUGAAUGUUCCACUUAUUCAACAAUUAUAUUCCAUUCGAGUGUUUGUGCGCACAGGUGCAACCCAACAGGCCCCAAACGGACUUGGCAGCAACUAAAAAUGAAAUAUAAAAAUGUAGUUGAAACAGAAAAAAGGCAGAGGCACGCAAAACAGGUGGCGGUCCACCACCACCACUUCUCACAGAGGCUGAAGAGAUGGCCCUCAGUCACAACAGUGGGCGACCCAUUGCUGAGGGCAUCUCUGGGGGGAGCUCAUUGGACCCAGCCACGCCCCAGGACACAGGGGCCUACAUAAGAGUUACUGAUGAUGGUGUAAUCUGUCUCGUGGAGCCUUCUGCCAUAACACACCUCCAUGCUGUUGUAAGUACUCUUAAUAUUCCACAGAUUUGUCAUAAUGGGUAGAAUUUAACACAAACAUUCUGUUUCAUUACAGGAGGAUGGUGAAGACACCUUAUCAGCUGCCACAGAGAGGGAAGAUGCAGAGAGGCCUGUUGAGAGCAAUGCCGGAAGUUACAAUGAGGAAGAAGGUCCAUCAACCUCCACAGCACAGCUUACCUCACUCCCUGUGAAACAACUUUACAAAGUAUAUUUAGAAUCCCAAAUAAACAAAUCACACCUAGAAAUGGAGCACAUAAGGCUGCAGAUCACCAAAACAAAAAAGGAAAUACAGCUGCUGGACCAUCAGUUAAAGGAAAUAAGGAAGACCCCAUAAAAUGAGGCAUAAUGUCGUUCUUUGACACUGGGGAGGUGAUUGGUCAGUUAGAAAUGAUUGAAGCAUAUCAUGUCUCUAAAAGCUCUUCCAUCUCGUGCAUCUCGUGCAUCAGCAGGGGGGUCAGGAUUAUUAUCUGGAUCAUUGGGGGAAAGAGUAGGACAUUGUUCACCUCUAAUAGUGGCAAUGUUGUGGAGAACCACACAUGGCACUAUAAUGUCACAAGCCCUUUCCGGGGUGACCCUGAGCCUACGAAGGCACUGGAACCGGGCCUUGAGUAUGCCGAUGGUCAUCUCCACUCUGGCUCGUGUCCUGCAGUGAGCCAAGUUGUAGUGUCUCUGUGGGCCAGGGUCAGGGUAAGGGGUCAGCAGAUAGCGCUGGCAGGGGUACCCUCUGUCUCCGAGUAGAUAACCAUCAAACUCUCCUAUGAUAAUACAAAAUACACUUUAUUGUUUCAGUUGCAAUAGGAGGAAACAAAAUAUUGAUCAUAGGAUAUAACUAUAUACUGGAUAUAUAAACUAUAUAUAUAAACUCACCACGGGCAAAUCUGGCACUAGUGUAGACUCAUGAAACAUUCGUGAGUCAUGCACAGACCCAGGCCACUUCGCUUCCACAUUAUUUAUCAUGUGGGCUGCGUCACAUAUGAUCUUCACAGUGGAGAACAGUAAUUAGCUGUAUAGUGAAGUAUAUUUCAUUUGGAAUGUUAAAGGCUACUAUUUAGACCUACCUGUACACAGUGGUGGGUAGUAACGCAUUACAAGUAAAAAAGCAAAUGAGUAAAAAAGUAAAUUUUCGGGUGACGAGUACUUUUCACGUUCCUUUUUUAAGUCUGUAAUUUUACUCUUACUCAAGUAAAUAUUUGAUUUAGAAUUCUACUCUGUACUCAAUUACAUUUUCCAUUGUGCUUUCAUUAAAAUGACUAUUUUGAUAAAAACAUUAUCUUCGUUGACUGUGAUACAAGCGUACACGAUAGCGACGCGUUUUCCCUAGGUUGCAACGUGAGUCGACCGUUACGUUGGGACUGAGGACUAGAAACGGACGCGCAGGAAGAUAUUUUCGCCAGUGGGUGCAGAGUUACGGUCCACGUAGGCUAUAGUUUAUAUAAUUCUAAAGAAACUAUGUUACACUGUAUUCUGCAGACCACUCACAAACUUGUUCGUCAUUGUCGUGUCUGGCUCUGUGAGCGUCCGUGCAUGCUAUGUGCGUAGGCUGGAUAAAUAUGAUUGCUCAAUCAGCCAACCAAGUCAGUCUCGUUUGUGUUUAAUUGGUUGUGUUCCUACAAAGCUCUUGCCUUUUGUCACAUGCACAGAGCUUAAUGCAAAUUUGUUUGAAAUUAAAUUACAUUUUUUGUUGUACAUAUUGCAUUUGUUGUACAACUUGUGAAGAAAUGUUUUAGGAGUGCAUCUCUUUCUCUCCCUCACUCACUCACGCAGCCGCGUGCCGUCCAUAUGUAUGGCAAGCCAUCCCCGCCAGAAAACGGCAUCAUUUAGACGCGUAUCACCUUCAUUACGC